rnacentral:rRNA from 1 species
AGCGUACACGGUGGAUGCCCUGGCAGUCAGAGGCGAUGAAGGACGUGCUAAUCUGCGAUAAGCGUCGGUAAGGUGAUAUGAACCGUUAUAACCGGCGAUUUCCGAAUGGGGAAACCCAGUGUGUUUCGACACACUAUCAUUAACUGAAUCCAUAGGUUAAUGAGGCGAACCGGGGGAACUGAAACAUCUAAGUACCCCGAGGAAAAGAAAUCAACCGAGAUUCCCCCAGUAGCGGCGAGCGAACGGGGAGGAGCCCAGAGCCUGAAUCAGUGUGUGUGUUAGUGGAAGCGUCUGGAAAGGCGCGCGAUACAGGGUGACAGCCCCGUACACAAAAAUGCACAUGCUGUGAGCUCGAUGAGUAGGGCGGGACACGUGGUAUCCUGUCUGAAUAUGGGGGGACCAUCCUCCAAGGCUAAAUACUCCUGACUGACCGAUAGUGAACCAGUACCGUGAGGGAAAGGCGAAAAGAACCCCGGCGAGGGGAGUGAAAAAGAACCUGAAACCGUGUACGUACAAGCAGUGGGAGCACGCUUAGGCGUGUGACUGCGUACCUUUUGUAUAAUGGGUCAGCGACUUAUAUUCUGUAGCAAGGUUAACCGAAUAGGGGAGCCGAAGGGAAACCGAGUCUUAACUGGGCGUUAAGUUGCAGGGUAUAGACCCGAAACCCGGUGAUCUAGCCAUGGGCAGGUUGAAGGUUGGGUAACACUAACUGGAGGACCGAACCGACUAAUGUUGAAAAAUUAGCGGAUGACUUGUGGCUGGGGGUGAAAGGCCAAUCAAACCGGGAGAUAGCUGGUUCUCCCCGAAAGCUAUUUAGGUAGCGCCUCGUGAAUUCAUCUCCGGGGGUAGAGCACUGUUUCGGCAAGGGGGUCAUCCCGACUUACCAACCCGAUGCAAACUGCGAAUACCGGAGAAUGUUAUCACGGGAGACACACGGCGGGUGCUAACGUCCGUCGUGAAGAGGGAAACAACCCAGACCGCCAGCUAAGGUCCCAAAGUCAUGGUUAAGUGGGAAACGAUGUGGGAAGGCCCAGACAGCCAGGAUGUUGGCUUAGAAGCAGCCAUCAUUUAAAGAAAGCGUAAUAGCUCACUGGUCGAGUCGGCCUGCGCGGAAGAUGUAACGGGGCUAAACCAUGCACCGAAGCUGCGGCAGCGACGCUUAUGCGUUGUUGGGUAGGGGAGCGUUCUGUAAGCCUGCGAAGGUGUGCUGUGAGGCAUGCUGGAGGUAUCAGAAGUGCGAAUGCUGACAUAAGUAACGAUAAAGCGGGUGAAAAGCCCGCUCGCCGGAAGACCAAGGGUUCCUGUCCAACGUUAAUCGGGGCAGGGUGAGUCGACCCCUAAGGCGAGGCCGAAAGGCGUAGUCGAUGGGAAACAGGUUAAUAUUCCUGUACUUGGUGUUACUGCGAAGGGGGGACGGAGAAGGCUAUGUUGGCCGGGCGACGGUUGUCCCGGUUUAAGCGUGUAGGCUGGUUUUCCAGGCAAAUCCGGAAAAUCAAGGCUGAGGCGUGAUGACGAGGCACUACGGUGCUGAAGCAACAAAUGCCCUGCUUCCAGGAAAAGCCUCUAAGCAUCAGGUAACAUCAAAUCGUACCCCAAACCGACACAGGUGGUCAGGUAGAGAAUACCAAGGCGCUUGAGAGAACUCGGGUGAAGGAACUAGGCAAAAUGGUGCCGUAACUUCGGGAGAAGGCACGCUGAUAUGUAGGUGAAGCGACUUGCUCGUGGAGCUGAAAUCAGUCGAAGAUACCAGCUGGCUGCAACUGUUUAUUAAAAACACAGCACUGUGCAAACACGAAAGUGGACGUAUACGGUGUGACGCCUGCCCGGUGCCGGAAGGUUAAUUGAUGGGGUUAGCGCAAGCGAAGCUCUUGAUCGAAGCCCCGGUAAACGGCGGCCGUAACUAUAACGGUCCUAAGGUAGCGAAAUUCCUUGUCGGGUAAGUUCCGACCUGCACGAAUGGCGUAAUGAUGGCCAGGCUGUCUCCACCCGAGACUCAGUGAAAUUGAACUCGCUGUGAAGAUGCAGUGUACCCGCGGCAAGACGGAAAGACCCCGUGAACCUUUACUAUAGCUUGACACUGAACAUUGAGCCUUGAUGUGUAGGAUAGGUGGGAGGCUUUGAAGUGUGGACGCCAGUCUGCAUGGAGCCGACCUUGAAAUACCACCCUUUAAUGUUUGAUGUUCUAACGUGGACCCGUAAUCCGGGUUGCGGACAGUGUCUGGUGGGUAGUUUGACUGGGGCGGUCUCCUCCUAAAGAGUAACGGAGGAGCACGAAGGUUGGCUAAUCCUGGUCGGACAUCAGGAGGUUAGUGCAAUGGCAUAAGCCAGCUUGACUGCGAGCGUGACGGCGCGAGCAGGUGCGAAAGCAGGUCAUAGUGAUCCGGUGGUUCUGAAUGGAAGGGCCAUCGCUCAACGGAUAAAAGGUACUCCGGGGAUAACAGGCUGAUACCGCCCAAGAGUUCAUAUCGACGGCGGUGUUUGGCACCUCGAUGUCGGCUCAUCACAUCCUGGGGCUGAAGUAGGUCCCAAGGGUAUGGCUGUUCGCCAUUUAAAGUGGUACGCGAGCUGGGUUUAGAACGUCGUGAGACAGUUCGGUCCCUAUCUGCCGUGGGCGCUGGAGAAUUGAGGGGGGCUGCUCCUAGUACGAGAGGACCGGAGUGGACGCAUCACUGGUGUUCGGGUUGUCAUGCCAAUGGCACUGCCCGGUAGCUAAAUGCGGAAGAGAUAAGUGCUGAAAGCAUCUAAGCACGAAACUUGCCCCGAGAUGAGUUCUCCCUGACUCCUUGA